AUAUGGAAGUUCCCAGGCCAGAUAUCGAACCUGAGCCACAGAAGUAACAAUGUCAUAUCCUUAACCACUAGGCCAUCAGGGAACUCCCUGUGUAUACCUUUAGAUAUGAAGGGAGUGCCUUAUAGGCAGCAUAUACAUAGGUCUUAUUUUUUCAUUCAUUUUUCCACUUUUUGUCUUUCAAUGAAGGGUACAGUCCAUUUACAUUUAAAGUAAAUAUUGAUAGCUAUGUAUUUAUCUCCCUUUGGUUAAUUGUUUGGGGGUUAUUUUGUAGUUCUUCUCUGUUUCUUUCUUCAACUUUUAUUCCCUCCCUUUGUGAAUUGAUAACUAUCUUUAGGUUAAGGUUUGAUAUCUCUCAUUUUUUGUGUGUGUGAGUACCUAUUAUAGGUUUUUUGGUUUGUAAUUUACAUAUAUAUGAUUAUUUUAAGUUGAUGAUCUCAAUUUUGAAUGCAUUAUAACCAUUCUACAAUUUUUACAAUGCCUCCUCACAUGUAAUAUUUAUUGUGAAUGUAAAUUAUUUGACUAAUUUUAUCUUUAAGCUUACUACUAGUUUUAUAGGUCAUUGAUCUACUGUCUUUAUGGUAUGUUUAUCUUUACCAAUGAGAUUUUUUUCUUUUAUAAUUUUUAUAUUUACAGUCAGAGCCUCUUCUUUUCUGCUUAGUGAAGUCCAUUUAAUAUUUCUUAUAAAACCAGUUUUGUGGUACUGAACUCUUUUAUCUUUUCCUUGACUGUAAAAUUCUUUAUCUCUCCUUCAAAUUUGAAUAAUAACCUUGCCAGGCGGAGUAAUCUUGUUGCAGGCUUCUUCCUUUCUAUGUUAACUAUAUUAUGCCACCCUCUUUGGGAUUACAAAGUUUCUGCUGAAAAGUCAGCUUAUAGUCUAACUGGAGUUCCCUUGUACAUAGUUGCUUUUCUAUUGCUGCUUUUAUUUUUAUUUUUAUUUCUUGCUUUUUAGGGCCACACCCAGGGCAUAUGGAAGUUCCCAGGCCAGGGGUCAAAUUGCAGCUACAGCUGCCAGCCUACACAACAGCCAGGCAGCAAGGCAGGAUCUGAGCCAUGUCUGUGAUCUAUGCCUCGGCUCACAGCAAUGCCAGAUCCCCAACCCACUGAGUGAGGCCAGGGAUACAACCUGCAUCCUCAUAUAUACUAGUUGGAUUCAUUUCUGUUGCACCACAACAGGAACUCUCUCUCUUGCUGCUUUUAAGGUUCUCUCUUUAAUUUUUGCCAGUGUAAUUAUAAUGUCUUGGUGUAGACUUCUUUGCAUUCAUUUCCUUUAGGACUCUCUCCAUUUUCUGGUUCUUAUCUGUUGUUUCCCCAAGUUAUAUAAUUUUUCAGUUAUGAUUUCUUCAAAUAAUUCUCUUUCCCUUCCUUUCUCUCUUCUCAUUAUGGGACACCUACAAUGCUAAUGUUGGUAGGUUUGAUACUGUCCCAGAGCUCUCUGGCAUCAUUCUCAUUUGUCUUAAUUCUUUUUUCUUUCUAUUCAGUUUGUAUGAUUUUCACUUCUCUGUUUUCCAGUUCACUGAUCCAUUUCUCUGUCUCUAAUAUAGAGUUAGAUCCCUUCCAGUGUUUUUUAUUUUAGUUAUUGUGCUCAUAAGCUCCACUCUUUUUUUUUUCUUUAUAUUUUUUUAACUCUCUGUUGAAAAUCUCAUUGUGUUCAACCACUCUUCUCCUAUGUCCUGUGGGUUCUGUUCAAGAAGGGGUCUCAAUCAUAGUUGCUGAGCUCAGGCCCAUCUGAUGGUGGCAUGUCUGGCCCAUGAAUGACUUGGUCACUUAGGAGCCAAGUCAUGGAGAGCUGAAGAAACUUCUGGGGAGAAGACACACACAUCAAGUUGGGAGCUGGGAUCCUCAAAAGGUGAUGUGUGAAGGAGUUAGGAGGCCUCAGGCAGAAUGCACACAAAGUCUAGGAGGAAAUGCCAAUAUCCAAAGGAACCUAGGAAUAGCUACUCAAUGAUUAAGGAGGGAGAAGUGGUUACUUUAACUAAACUUUGCAUUUUGAGAUAAUUAUAGAGUCUAUGUAGCUGUAGGGAAUGGUAUAGAAAUAUUCAACAUGCCCUUGUUCCUAGUCCCCUUAGUGGUAAUGUCUUGCAAGAUUAUGGUACAAAAUCAAGCAGGAUAUUAACACUGAUACAGUCAAGAUGCAAAACAUUUUAUCCCCACGAAAAUCCCUUGUAUUUCCUUUAUAACUACAUCCACUUACCCUUGAUCUCAUCCCUUCUUUUAACUCCUGGGAACCGCUAAUUUUUCUACUUUCUAUAAUUAUUUUUUCCAUUUUAAGAAUGUCAUAUAAAUAGGAUCAUGCAAUAUGUAGCCUUUGCAAGUUGACUUUUCAUGACUCAGUAAAAUUCUCUGGAGAUUCAUCAAGGCCAUUGCAUGUAUCAAUGGUUUGUUCCUUUUAUUACUGAGCAGCAUCUCACAGUUCAUUUAACCAUUCACCCAUUAAGGACCUCUAAGUUAUUUUUUAGCUAUUAUGAACAAAGUUGCUUUAAACACUCAUGUACAUGUUUUUGUGUGAACACAAAUUUUCACGUCUCUGGGGUGGAUGAAGAAAAGUGCAGCUGCUGAGUCAUGGAUGGUAUUACAAGAAACUUCCAAACUAUCUUCCAGAGUGGCUGUUCCAUUGUACAUUCUCAAUAGUAAUGUUUGAAUGAUCCAGUUUCUCUACAUUCCCACUAGCGUUUGGUGUGUUCAUCACAUUUUUUUUCAUUUAAGCCAUUCUUAUAGGUAAGUAAUGAUAUCUCCUUGUGGUCUUAAUAUGCAUGUUUGUUGUUGACAAAUGAUGUUUAACCUUAUAUGACAUCUAUCUAACCUUUGAAAUAAAAAUGUCUCUUCAUGUCAAUUGUCCAGGUUGCUGAAAACUGAAGAAGUUUAUAUUAUGGAAUCUUUCUAAAGUCAUUGCAUGUGAAUAUCCAAUAAACUCUAUAAGUAUAGUACAUAUGUUAUCAAUCUGUUCAAAACUCACAAAUGUGGCACAGACCCACUUUCCCAGCAAUAGCACAGUUAUCAGCUGAAUUUAAGUUUCUGACUAGUGUCUCUAAGUGCCAUUUAUUUUAAUUUCCAGUAUAACAUAAUACAGUGAAAUAUCUAAGACUGAGCCUGAAAUGGUCCUUAUGUAGAGAUUGUGAAAUAUACAUUCACUCUUCUGAUUUCAUAACUUUUGCCAUGUAUUCCAUGAUGAUUUUUAUGGACCAACAAGAAUCUUGUGUUUUCCAAUUUCAUUUCUGAACUCAUUCCCCUACUACUUUCCUACACAAAUUCUUCCUAUUAUGGCCCUUAUCCAUCCAGCCCUCUACCAUAAUUAGGAUGGCAGACUGUGUUUUCAAAGAAGAUAUCACAGCAGUAUUUCCAGUCCUACAUUCCCAUCUAGAACAUUGCCAUUCUCCACCAACAUAUUUCCCUUUGGACCAUAGCAUUAUGACCACUUUGAUGAGUAGAUGGACACAACUGUUACCACGUACCUUCCAAGGCCAGGUCAUAAAAGGUGAUGCAGCUGACACUUGGGUCUCUAAGGAUGCCCUGUCUUAGAACUCAGUCAUCACCUGGUGAAGAGGCACAAAUAGCAUGUAAGCACCCUCAGCAGCAGCCUAUCUGAAGCCUUAGCCUACAGCAGCAUUAAUGAUCAGACAUGGGAACAAGCGAGCUUUUAGAUAAUUCCAGCUUCCCAGCUUUAAGUCUCUCAGUGGAGGCUGCAGGUAUGAGGAAGCAGAAGCAGCCAUUGCUGAUACGCUCUGCCUGAAACCCUGAUCUAGGAAAUCUGUAACACUUGGUUGUGAAGCCACUAGAUUUUAGGGUAAUUUUUUUAGGUAUCUGUGGCAAUUCUAUUAUUUUCUCACAUACUAUGAAAACUGGAGCACCAUUUUCUAAAAUAUGUUUCACAGAUUUUACAUUAAUUUUCAGUGGUGAAAUAACUGAGAAACACUAGGGGUAGCAUUCAACAUGAAGAAGAUCUAAUUUGAAGCAUGUCUCGGUUGCCCCCAAAUUUUAGACUAUGGAAACAUUCUCCCAACAUUUUAUCUUAAUACUUCCGUAAAAUAAACUUUGGGAAAUUCUUUUUUUUUAUUUUUAGGGUCGCACCCACAGCAUAUGGAAGUUCCCUGGGCUAAGGGUCAUAUCCGAGCUGCAGCCACAGCAAUGCUGGAUCUGAGCCUUAUCUACAAACUAUACAUACUGCAGCUUGUGACAAUGUCAGAUCCUUAACCCACUGAGCGAGGCCAGGGAUCGAACCCCUGUCCUCAGGGACAAUGUGUCGGGUUCUUGACCUGCUGAGACACAAAGGGAAUCCCAGGAAACUCUUUAAUUAGCUUCCCUCUCUCCCUGUAAACUUUAGCGAGAACAGACAGGAAAUUACUAGUAAAAAUCUAUGUUGUAAGUCAGAGAGUGCAUUUACCAAUAUUCCUUGGGCUGUAUAUUCCUCUGUAGAAACAAUGUCAUCGAGGCAAUGGCAGGGGGCAAGGGGUGUAGCAUCAGCAAGGGAGGAUGGAAUCCAAGGGAAGGGAAGAAGAUGGCAGGUCUGGCCUGGCAGGGGUAGAUCCAGUUGCUCACCUAGGGUACCAGUUGUCCAUAAUAGCACCAAAGGACAUGGCUAUCUCCCUUCCCAUCUCCCCUUGCCUGGAGAGUGUUCUCGGAUAUCUUCCUCUCAUCAGCAAUCAUCAUAAGAUGUUCACAAAGUCCUAACUUCUGGGAGGUUCUGUGGAUAAGUAAAACUCAGGCUCUAUCCUUGAGAAAGUUACCAAACAAGUGUGGUAGACCUUUUACAAAAAUGGCCUUUAUUGUCAUCCCUUUGCAAUAUGAUGCAACUCCCGCCUUCUGUGUCUGGCAUGUCUUGAGUCUUUCUUCAAUGUGGCAGAAAUGACACUAUAGACUUUCAAACCCCAGCUUCAGCAGGUCUUGGGGGCUACUGUUCUCGUUCCUGGAACCCCAUCAGUUGCAGUGUAAAUAAGCCCAGGCUAGCAGGUUGAAUGGGGGUGGGGGUGGGGACAGGAGCCAGUUCUUCUGUCUCCCAACCAACAGCCACAUAGGGAGGCCAUCUCGAAAUCAGCCAGACCCCAGGCUGUACACUAACUGCAGACCCACAGCUGUGCCCACCCUAUAGCUUUGGUAACAGAACCACCCCGCUGAAUCUUGGAUUCAAAAUCAAUAAUAAAUGACUGUGGUUUUAAGCCACUACCUUUUGAGGUGGUGGCUUAAGCAGUGAGUGUUAGCUGAUCCAAGGGGAAAGAAGUGUAAACAGAUCAGAUAAGGGCAGUAUGAGAGGUAAGCUCAGGAUCCCUGCAGCACCAAGUAGGCUAACUAAUCCAUCCUAUGUAGAUAAAUCUCAAGGAACACUUAGCAGUAACCUAGUGGUGAGUGUAUCACCAGCAGAGUAGACGUGGCAUCAGAAACACACAGCUACACAAGAAGAGCCAAACAUGUACAAGGAAAUAAAAGCAGGAGCUUUCAACAUACGGAGUUUUCAGGAUAUCAAGCUUCAAGGGAAGCAGAGGGUCUCCCUGAUAAGAAGCCUGCACACUGCGAGGCCCACACCAGCCCCCACCCCCUGAGGCUGACCACUGCUCUCUAUUCAUAACUGGUGCUCACUGCCCUGGCUUUCCUGGCUCCUUGUUAUCUUCCUUAUCUCUGCCUCCUUCUGGGGGGUUGGCAGUGGGCCCACCUUGUACAUGUGUCAGCUGUCAGACCGCUUUCUCAUCCAAGGAUCCCAGAUCUGUUUCCAUCUCUGUAACAUCUCAGAAUUGCAAUGACAGCAGUUAAUAAAAGAACUGUUAAUUCACCUCAACCAUACAUGCCAGCAUCAGUUCUUUGUAAGACAGUGUGCUCUCUGCUUUCAUGCACAUGGUGGGAUAAAGAUAUCAGAAACCGGGUCUGGGGCCCUGGGGUCUCAAGCUUCAGCUUCUGGUGGGCAUAUGGCUGUGUAUCCAAAACAAACCCAAGCAGCCCUGCCUCCUGGACGGGGGAGCUGGACCUACUGAAACACUGAAAAUGCCAGCUCACUCAGCAGUCCUACAUUCAGGUUCUGGGCCUGUAACUUUGGAACAUUCCAAAUCUGCAGAAAUUCCCUGCUUCUCAUAGCUUCAGCUUCUACACUUAUAAAAUAGGGGUAUAAGUAAUUUUAUGUCAUAGCAAUUAAUUUUAAUUGAAGUAGCCAUAGGACUAGCAGCAACCUUCCU
rnacentral:lncRNA from 1 species